rnacentral:rRNA from 1 species
GAUGAACGCUGGCGGCGUGCCUAAUACAUGCAAGUCGAACGCUGGAACUCUAGCUUGCUAGAUUGAAGGAGUGGCGAACGGGUGAGUAAUACAUAAGCAACCUACCCACGAAGACUGGGAUAAUCUCUGGAAACGGGGACUAAUACCGGAUAGGUAAUCGGAAGGCAUCUUCUGAUUAUUAAAGGCUAAAAACACUGGUGGAUGGGCUUAUGGCGCAUUAGUUAGUUGGUGAGGUAACGGCCCACCAAGACGAUGAUGCGUAGCCGGCCUGAGAGGGUGAACGGCCACAUUGGGACUGAGACACGGCCCAGACUCCUACGGGAGGCAGCAGUAGGGAAUUUUCGGCAAUGGGGGAAACCCUGACCGAGCAACGCCGCGUGAGUGAUGACGGCCUUCGGGUUGUAAAGCUCUGUUGUAAGGGAAGAACGGUAGAUAGAGAAUAUCUAAAUGACGGUACCUUACCAGAAAGCCACGGCUAACUACGUG